rnacentral:rRNA from 1 species
UACGGAGGGUGCAAGCGUUAUCCGGAUUCACUGGGUUUAAAGGGUGCGUAGGUGGGUCUGUAAGUCAGUGGUGAAAUCUCCAAGCUUAACUUGGAACUGCCGUUGAUACUAUAGACCUUGAAUGCUGUGGAGGUGAGCGGAAUAUGUCAUGUAGCGGUGAAAUGCUUAGAUAUGACAUAGAACACCAAUUGCGAAGGCAGCUCACUACCCCAGAUAUUGACACUGAGGCACGAAAGCGUGGGGAUCAAACAGG